AAUAAUAAUAAUAAUAAUAAUAGAUUUAUUGCCAUCAAUAAAUAAUACAUGGCGCGUCAUAUAAUUAUGUACAUGUAAGUGUAUAUGGGACAAUACAUACAUUUAUUUUAAAUCUGGAGGGUUAUCCAGGAACUCUUGGAUAGAAUAAUAACUCAUUUCUAAUAGUGCGUCCUUUACCUUCUUCUCAAACAGAGCCGGAGCUAGUCUCUUCAUCGGGUCCUGAAGCUUGUUAUAAAGCUUCGGGCCCCAAUGGUCAAUGCUGUGCUGUGACACUUUAAGCCGAUGGUACGGUGUUGAGAGCGCGUCAGCGUGUCUUGUGUUAUGCUCGUGAUAUGAGCCAUUCUUGAUGAACUCGUGGAGGUGGUUGUGGACGUACCUCAGACAGCUCAAUAUGUACGCGGAAGGGAUGGUAAGAAUUUGUUGUUGUUUGAAGGCUGGGCGGCAGCUUUCCCGAUAGUUCAUUUGGCACAGGAUUCUGAUUGCUUUCUUUUGCAGGACGAAGAUCUUGUCAGCAUCUGAUGAAGUACCCCAUAGAAGUAUACCAUAGGUGGCUUUGCUGUGGAAGUUAGCAAAGUAUGUCACCCUUGCAGCUUGGGGAGUUGAGAUAUUCUUGAUUCUUCUGAUACUGAAUAAAGCUGAUGCUAGGUUUUUGCAGGUUUCCUGAAUGUGGUCCUUCCAAGAUGCUUUGCUAUUUAGGUAAAAUCCCAAGAAUUUUACCGAUGUGACGUUGGUGGGUUUUGAAGAUAUAAAUAGUUCCUGAGUCUUGUCUCCAUUGAGUUUCAGUUUAUUUGCUGUGAACCAUUCAUUGGCAUCUUCAAGGAUUUUUCUCAUUUUUGGUUUUAGCGUAUCCUCUGUUUCUUCUUUGAUGCAGAAGGAAGUGUCGUCCGCAUAUAGACACUGUCCAUCCACUCUCAUAUUGAUAGGCAAGUCAUUUACAUAGAUUAUAAAUAGCAGUGGACCGAGGAUUGAUCCCUGGGGCACUCCACACCUUGUUGGCAGAGGCUUUGACCAUUUUUCAUUCCAUUUUACUAUCUGGGUUCUAUUUUCAAGGGAAGAAUUUGUCAAAGGCAGCUGUCAGAGUUGUAUGGAAGACAGUGUAGGCCUCUUUUGCAUUACGGUGUUUGAAGACACGAGCCCACUCAAUUCCGGUUAAGUACUCCUUAAAGUAGUUCUUGCACUGGGUUCUUAAUCUUCAGGACUUGACAGUAGUGAUCAGACAUGCACCAACUUUUUGUCUCUUUUGAGAAGAUUUCUUCUAUGUUAAUAUUUGAAAAUAUAUUAUCUAUGCAGCUAGAAGAAGUUUCAGUUGUUCUAGAUGCCUCUCUCAUUAGUGGUUGCAUACCAUAUGUUGUGAAAGUUUCGAUUAAUAAAGAUUGUUCGACGCCA